CUAACCCCGGACCAAGCGUAAUGCUUACCCUAGCCUACAAUCUCGCCAACAAUCACGUGCCCAACCCUAUUUCAUCUCCGCGACCUUGACGAAAAUUGAGUUGGCCAUAACAAAUAGAUUUAGCCGUUGCCGCCGAUAAUGCACACAACAGGGAAAGUUCUGUCACUUUCUUUAUGACCUAACCCGUAUUUUAAACCCUACUUAAGCUUGGAUUGAAAUGAAAGGUUGACCUAAAACGUAAACAAGAUAAUUAGAAACGUAAUUGGGGGAUAUUUAUGUUUGUCAGUUUAUAUCUGAGAAAGAAGCUAACACACACACACCGCAGGCGGUAUGAGUGCAAGUGGAAAUACAGGGCCAGAGCCCCCACCACCAUCUUAUGAUGAAGCAAUGAAUAUACCUCAAACCUAUCCUGGUGGCACCAGUCCAUACCCCCCUCAACAACCCCAAUACCCUCCUCAUCAGCAGCCAUACCCUCCUCAAGCAUCAGCCCCUCAUCAAGCAUCAGCCCCAUACCCUCCAGCUCAAACUCCCAUGGUUCACCCUGUUGCCUAUGGUAACCCUAAUACUCCUGCAGCAAACCAGGCACAAUAUGGAGGCAACUCGUAUGGUGUACCCACAGCAAAUUACUCAACACAAUAUGGAGUUCCAGCACAAAAUACACAGGCCUAUCCUGUACCCGGUACAGCGGGUUAUAACACAACACCAUUGGCAUAUGGUCAUCAGGGAAAUAUGAGCGUGGACCAGAAUAAAAAGAAGAUCAUUGUGAUAUGUGUCUUUGUUGUAUUUGCUAUUGUAGUGCUGAUAAUUAUUUUUAAUACUGCUUUUAGUCUGAGCUGAAUGGUCUGUGUUGAACCAAAAUGAACUUACUACAUUAUUUAUAAUUAUAUGCCCAUGUUUAAUGUGGACGGAUAUUGUCAUCACCUGUGUCUAUCCACUAUUGCUAGAUUCACCAUUUCUCUUAUGAAUUUUAUGGUAUGAUCCUGAUGUCUUAUUGAGAUCUUGAACAUGGUCAGAUUUGAUUGUAAUUCGCAAGAGUUAUUUCCCUUCAAAAAUAGCCUGUGAACUAAGAAGAAUAUGAUUUUAGUGAAACUUGGAUGACAUCUUGUAUGGGUUUAACUAACCCGGGACAUUUCCUCUGCUAAUCUAAUUUUAAUGAAACUUUGAAUGUUGUCUAAAGUUGUCUCAUAUCUAUGUGAUCUUAGACCAUUUUCAAUUUAAAUGUGACUUGUCCAUUAUUCACUGUGUUAUCGUCCUUGACUUGACCAAAUAUAGGUUGUUUACAUAUUUCAUUUGAAUUUGAGGAAAUUCCGUAUGUUAUUUAAUACCUAUGAAAUCUCAGAUAAGCUUGAAUUUGAAUUGGAGAAAAUAGCUUUUUAUUCAACUUUGUUGAUGUAACUUAUGACUUGAUUUAUAUACAUGAUAUCUCAAAUUCAAAUUUAAUGGGAUUUUUAUAUAGAAAAUUAGUAGUUGCCUCUAACUAAGUGGAUAUGCAUCAAAUAUAACUGCUUUUCAUCCAUAUCACCUUUCUCUAAUUUUCUUGAAGUAACCGAUGUUGUUAAUGUUUAUAUUUACCCGAAAAGUGGAUGUAUCUGCUUUUUUUUGAAAAAUCGUAAUAUUUUAGCAGUGUUAAUGACUUCAUCAUAAUCCUCUUUCUUAGUUUGAUUUAGCUUUUUCAUAAGAGAGGAAUGUCUUCUCUGCUUAUUGGAUUAAAAAUGUCUGUAAUAAAAAUAAAUAUUCUGAGAAAAAAGUACAUAAAUAUUUCCUCUGUUAAUAUUUUAUAUUUUAUAACCUACGUAAUGUCUCUAUUUAUAGCCUACUAGUUUUUUUGCAUCAGUUGAGUUUUCCAAUGCUUCUGAGUAUAACAGGAAGUAAUAAUUGUCUGAAACUUGAAAUAGUAUAACUCUGAAAGCGAUAAUGCAACACCACCAAAUCUGUGUCAUUUCCCAACUCAAGCUGCCUUUAUACCCCAGCCUUAAUGUAGCCAUCAACCCUAAACAACAGUCACAAAUACAUGUAUAAUAUGUAUAUAGUUGAUAAAUAAUCUAAAUUAUAUUUUAAAAUAUCAGUAUAUAAUCUUUUUUAUGUACUGUUCAAAUAUGCAUAUUACUAAAUAAUGGGUUAAGAUACCGGUUCAUUAUUUUUUGUACUUGCUAUUCCAUUAUGCAUAUAUUGUUUGUACAUUAGCAUUGGUUGUGACAUAAUAUUAGCAAUAUAUAUUUUUAUACUAUAGCUACAUGCCUGAAUUAAGAUCUUUAUAAUCCAUGAAUAUUCCACGGUUUUAUCCUUUUCUGUUGUUGUGAAAUUAAUUUUAUUGUUUGUAUAAUAUUCAUUCAAAUAUUUGAUAUUUGUUAAAUUUUCUUUAAAAUUGUUUUUAGUCAUAUUUUUUUUUUAUACGGUAAUUACUAAUUAUUUACAAUCUUGUUAUAUUAUUAACUCAAAUUUAUAUUUAUGUGGAUAUUAAUAUAUUUUUACCUUUAUUGUUAUACGCUCACAUUUUCAUGUGGACGUAUAUUGUCGUUGCCCCUGUCUGUGCGUCCGUCCGUUCACAUUUUUUUUGUGGACACUCUACAGGUCACAAUUUUGACGAAACUUGAAAUAUAGGUUUAUCUCUCAAUGAUCUCAGUGCCUGUCGAUAAUUAUGCAUAUUGGACCGUAACUUGCUGGAUUAUGGCCCCUGAUUGUACGAAAAAUCAGUUUUGAGCUUGUUGGCUUGAGAUCACAAUUUUUAUCUAAUUUUGAUGAAAUUUGAAGUGUAUGUUUAUAACCCAAAGAUUGCUGUUCCUUUCAAUAUUCGCACAUAUUAGACUGUAACUUCCUGGAAUAUUGCCCCAGAUGGUUGAGUUCGAAUUUCGUGAAAAUCAGACUGGAACUGUCCGAUGCUUGUACGCAAAUAAUGUAAAAGUGUGUAUCGGUAAUACCAAGGUUGUGGACCUUCUAAAGUUCACAAUCUUUUUGCAAUUAUGAUGAAACUGAAAAUAUAUGUUUUUAUUCCAAAGAUCUCGGCUCCUUUUGAUACUUGUAAGUACCUUCUGAAUUAUGGCCCCUGAUUUGUACUAAAAAUUGCUUUUUUUUGUUUAGCUUGUUUUCUGUCCAUCUCUUGCAAAUUGUGGGCAGAUCUUGCAUGGCAACCAUUGGUUUUUAUUAGUAAGCCUGGUAGCAACAAGUAUUUUAAUAAAGUUUUUAUUUUGGAUCCUCUGAUGUCCUGUUAUGCAUUAUAAUUUGACAGCAGCAUUUUAAGUAAUAUCUAAAUGCAGGCUAGGAAAUCUUUAAUUUUAAUACAGGAACAUGGUGACAGACAGACAAACCCCAUUUUAAUAGUCCCCUGCUUCAUUCGAAAGGCGGGGAACAAUUAUCGAAACCUCCAACUAAGAAUGAAAUAAGGAAUUAAACUUUGCUCCACGAAAACCAGAAUUUAUGAAACUAAUUCCAUACUUUCAGGAGAAAGGUCGCGAAUCUGUUUUUCGGUCGCCUUUGAUUAUCUUCAGAUUUUGACACCCACAAAUGAAUGCCAUGAUGUCAUGUAACAUUGUCUGCAUUUCAGAUGGAACACUAGAUCUGAAAUUAUAAUAUAAAGUUCUGUAUGUCAAUUUCAAGCCCAUUCUCAAAAUAUCCAUUAUAAAACAUCCAUUCGCACUAUUUUCUUCCAAUGUUGUUGAAUCUGUGUUUUUCACAUUAAUAGAUUGCCAUGUCUGCAUAAUUAAAGAUUAUACACAGUGCGUCAUUAAUUUUUGAAAUAUUUUAACAUAAAAAGUCAUUCGCAUUAUUUUAUUCAAAAUCCAAUGUUGAUGGCAAGGCUAAGACAAUAUAAACAUCAUUAUAAUAACUAACGAGAACGGAAACUAAAAAAUAAUAAGAUCUAAAUUUCAUAAGUUUGGGGACUAUUUCAUUGCGGUAUGAAAAUAGCUAGACGCCGUGCAAAAUGAAAACACCAGAAAGCACAGUACUGUCAUCACUUUAAUUAUCUAAUAUAUUGCACAGUAAUGUCCUAAAAUACCAAUAACGUCAGCGUUAAAGACUCUUUGUAACACGUGUUGUGGACUAAUGAAUAAGUGUGUUUAAUUAAUCAUACGUCAUGACAAGGAGAGAAGACGUUUCAGCCACAGGUGGCACAAGUGGAAAUGGAAAUACAGGGUCAGAACCCCCUCCACCAUCUUAUGAUGAAGCUAUGAAUUUACCUCAGACCUAUCCCCCUCAACAACUCCCUUAUCUUGCUCAACAACCCUCAGCCCCAUACCCUCCUCAACAUCCUACACAACCAUCAGCCCCAUGCAAUGAAGAACUUCCGUACCCAUCUCAACCACCUGUUAUCUAUCCACCUCAGCAACUGCCGUACCCCACCCACCCUACCUACCCCAACACUCCUACUGGAGCACCUGUCGUUUAUCCUGUUGCUUAUGCAAGCCCUGGCAAUCCUGGUUAUCCAUAUGGAAACCCUGUUGUUCCUGGCAACCCUAAUUAUCCUUAUGGGAAUCCUGUUGUUUCUGGCAACACAAGUAAUCCUCCUGGUACACAAGUUUACAGCAAUACACCAUUGGUGAUGAACAAUACUGGUCCGUUGAGUGCUUCGCAAACUGCCAUGCUCCACAGAAAAAAGAAACUUAUCCUGUUUAGUUUUUUUGUCAUAAUUUGUGUUAUUGUUGUAAUAAUAAUCUUAUUCUAAACUGAAUGGAACAUACUAAAGAUGGCAACAAAAUAACUUAUUGUGAAUUUAUGGAAGAUCGACAGGGCUUUAAUACAACACUAUACCCAAGCACUAAUCUGUACAGGCCAUUGAAUUUUACAGUUAUAUGUUGUGGUGGAUCUAGAACAAUUGGUUAGGUGGGUACCUUCGAGAAAAGUUUGCAAAUUUGGGUUGUCUGUGGUGAUUUGUGCCACAUAUCUGGACUUUAAUAAAAUAUUCAGUUUCAUUCAGCUACAACCUCACUAUACUGCAACCAACAUAAAGCUCAAGUUUACAUGUUUCAUAGAAACAGAAUAAUAAGUUAUUUUUUUAUAAUUUUAUUUGGGAGUGGGGGGUUUGGGUAGUGGGCCGUAAAGUGGUAGAGAUCGAUUAUAGCCAUGCUAGUUCUACCAGGUGUAAAUUGAACCCAUGGUAUGGACCAUAUAUAGCCUUAUUGUGCAACGACGCUUAUAUAAAAUGAUACUUAUACAAAUUGGUUGGACAAUAUAGGCUAGACAUACAUCUAGUGUAGACUAUAUAGACCCUUACCUUAUGGACACACUUAUAUAAAAUGAUUGUGGAAUAUAUAGGGCAGAACAUGUAACGGACACUUAUGCAUGAAAUUAGUACAAAAUGUGUCAUGGAAUGGAGUCUUAUAUUGUGCACAAUUAUUAUAACUGAAGAUACUGUCACAAAAUUUGUACAUUUUAAAAUGAGAAUCAGAUAUAGCAAUGAUAGUCAGUUACUAAUGUUUAAAGGACAACAUUGGUGCCAGUCAUUAUCACAUAUGUGAUAGAGCUGGUUAAACACAUUCCAAAUAUAAUUUUAUCUCAGAGAUCAUUGCUACGAUAGCUGAGUAAUACAGUUUUUCUGAAUCGGAAGUGACGAACGCCAAAGGAAAACACGAGUCGCCUCUCUAUAUAACUGACUGAUGUGACGAAUGAUAACGGAUAUACGGGUGAAUUUCUGCUCACUAAUAAUUCCUUCGGAGACCAAAAGUUGUUAUAUGGGACUGUAAGAGGAUACCUGACAAUUCAAUAAAGUAAUUGAAUGUCAUUAGAUAAGAGAACACGAGAAAAAUAGAAAUAGUCCGUACAUUCCCUUGUUUAUAUUCAUUCUAUACCUUAUAAAAACAUGGUAAUGCACAGACUUUUUCUGUUUUUCUUUCGUGUUCACUUAUCUAGUGACAGUCAAUUCUUUUUAUGAAUUGUCAGAUAUCCUUUCAUAGUCUCACACAACAACUUUUGGUCUUGGAAGGAAUUAUUAGUGAGCAGAAAUUCGCCUGUAUAUCCGUUAUCAUUCUUCACAUCAGUCAGUUAUAUAGAGAGGCGACUCGUGUUUUCCUUUGGCGUUCGUCACUUCCGAUU